GAUGAACGCUGGCGGCGUGCCUAAUACAUGCAAGUCGAGCGAAUGGAUUAAGAACUUGCUCUUAUGAAGUUAGCGGCGGACGGGUGAGUAACACGUGGGUAACCUGCCCAUAAGACUGGGAUAACUCCGGGAAACCGGGGCUAAUACCGGAUAACAUUUUGAACCGCAUGGUUCGAAAUUGAAAGGCGGCUUCGGCUGUCACUUAUGGAUGGACCCGCGUCGCAUUAGCUAGUUGGUGAGGUAACGGCUCACCAAGGCAACGAUGCGUAGCCGACCUGGGAGGGUGAUCGGCCACCCUGGGACUGAGACACGGCCCAGACUCCUACGGGAGGCAGCAGUAGGGAAUCUUCCGCAGUGGACGAAAGUCUGACGGAGCAACGCCGCGUGAGUGAUGAAGGCUUUCGGGUCGUAAAACUCUGUUGUUAGGGAAGAACAAGUGCUAGUUGAAUAAGCUGGCACCUUGACGGUACCUAACCAGAAAGCCACGGCUAACUACGUGCCAGCAGCCGCAGUAA
rnacentral:rRNA from 1 species